CAGCAGCCACGGGAAUACAGAGGGUGCGAGCGUUAAUCGGAUUUACUGGGCGUAAAGCGUGCGUAGGCGGCUUUUUAAGUCGGAUGUGAAAUCCCUGAGCUUAACUUAGGAAUUGCAUUCGAUACUGGGAAGCUAGAGUAUGGGAGAGGAUGGUAGAAUUCCAGGUGUAGCGGUGAAAUGCGUAGAGAUCUGGAGGAAUACCGGUGGCGAAGGCGGCCCCCUGGACAAAGACUGACGCUCAGGUGCGAAAGCGUGGGGAGCAAACAGGAUUAGAUACCCGCGUAGUCCCUGUCUCUUAUAC
rnacentral:rRNA from 1 species